rnacentral:lncRNA from 1 species
GAUAUCGCUUUUAUCCCUCCAAGGGUAAAAGAAAUGGAUAAACUUCGACCCAAAUGCUGGCUUGUACUUACUCAUCAAAUCAAAGACAACGAUAUGUUUUAUAACAACCUAGUUACUGGUUGCGUUUACAUAUGUCAAUGUGCAAGCAACUCGCAACUACAACUCACACGUCUCCGUUUGAAGAAUAUAAGAUAUUAUCGUCUCAUGAUCACUCGUGAUAAAAUCCAUGAAGUGAUUCAAAUGAGCGUUGGUUGAAUCCAAUACUCGAAUCUCAUUCCAAGAUCACUCAUGAACACUACAACCACUUUGUCCCAGACAAACUACAGACUCAUUCAUGACAGUCUUGCCUCAAUACCUACUUCCAAAUUAUAAUCGAAUGUGGAUGGUUUGAGUAACUUAGUUAUUCAGGAAGUCAAAACAUGCAAUGUGAAACACAAGAAUAAUCGAAUCCAAUAUGGUCUCAAAACUUAUGAAUAUAAAUAAAACACCUUUUAUUUAAUCACCAUGUUGAUUACACAUUAUUCAUUGCAUAAUGUUUCAAAUAAUGAGCUUAAUACUUGAAUUAAAACAAUAGUUGUCCCAUGCACACUAUGUUUUCUAAAUAAUAGUUAUACCAUACUCUAAGUAUGCACACUAUGUUUGUCUAUGUUUGUCACAGAUAUCGCUUUUAUCACUCCAAAGGUAAAAGAAAUGGAUAAACUUCGACCCAAAUGCUCGCUUGUACUUACUCAUCAAAUCAAACACAACGAUAUGUUUUAUAACAACCAAGUUACUGGUUGCGUUUACAUAUGUCAAUGUGCAAGCAACUCGCAACUACAACUCACACAUCUCUGUUUGAAGAAUAUAAGAUAUUAUCGUCUCAUGAUCACUCGUGAUAAAAUCCAUGAAGUGAUUCAAAUGAGCAUUGGUUGAAUCCAAUACUCGAAUCUCAUUCCAAGAUCACUCGUGAACACUACAACCACUUUGUCCCAGACAAACUACAUACUCAUUCAUGACAGUCUUGCCUCAAUACCUACUUCCAAAUUAUAAUCGACUGUGGAUGGUUUGAAUAACUUAGUUAUUCAGGAAGUCAAAACUUGCAAUGUGNUAGACGACGCGCAAAAGCGCGUCGUCUCUCUUUAUGACAGGGCCUUCCUUGACGCGCAUUUGCGCGUCGUCUGAGCGUUUUACGACGCGCAAUGAGCGUCGUAAAAGGCUGUUUUUCUAGUAGUGAAAACAUAACUCAUGACUUUAUUUAAUCACCAGAUUGAUUACACAUUAUUCAUUGCAUAAUGUUUCAAAUAAUGAGCUUAAUACUUGAAUUAAAACAAUAUUUGUCCCAUGCACACUAUGUUUUCUAAACAAUAGUUAUACCAUACUCUAAGUAUGCACACUAUGUUUAUCU